rnacentral:rRNA from 1 species
CAGUCGCCGCGGUAAUACGUAGGUGGCAAGCGUUGUCCGGAAUUAUUGGGCGUAAAGGGCUCGCAGGCGGUUUCUUAAGUCUGAUGUGAAAGCCCCCGGCUCAACCGGGGAGGGUCAUUGGAAACUGGGAAACUUGAGUGCAGAAGAGGAGAGUGGAAUUCCACGUGUAGCGGCGAAAUGCGUAGAGAUGUGGAGGAACACCAGUGGCGAAGGCGACUCUCUGGUCUGUAACUGACGCUGAGGAGCGAAAGCGUGGGGAGCGAACAGGAUUAGAUACCCCGGUAGUCCCUGUCUCUUAUAC